CAUUAGGCAUUUAUUGCACAUUCUCUUCACCUUUCUGUGGGGUUAAGAAAACUUGUUGAAAGAAGAGGACAUUUUCUUCUGUUCUUUAUAUGGUUACCCAAAAUCUAGCAGGGAAUGAAGCCUAAGUAGUAUGGGAGUGAGUGGAAAUCUGAUGCAGUUUACCAACCUGCAGUGUCCUAAAUGUGUUGGAGCAGUUGGGGAAAACAGUCCCAAAGCAGGUGGACUUUGUGGAAUUUGGGAUGUUCAUGUCCUGUUCAGGUCUCCUGGCCUGUCCCUGGGUAAGUCACUGUGUGCAUCUGUGGUCAUCUGAUAAUCUGCUCUUCUUUCACACCAGGAGAGGGGAGGAGACCACUGGAAUGUGUUAAAUAAAAAUUUAAGCAGUCCAAUGUUCAGAA